CAGCAGCCGCGGGAAUACGGAGGGGGCUAGCGUUGUUCGGAAUUACCGGGCGUAAAGCGCACGUAGGCGGCUUGGUAAGUUAGAGGUGAAAGCCUGGAGCUCAACUCCAGAAUUGCCUUUAAGACUGCCGAGCUAGCAGGUGAGAGAGGUAAGUGGAAUUCCGAGUGUAGAGGUGAAAUUCGUAGAUAUUCGGAAGAACACCAGUGGCGAAGGCGGCUUACUGGCUCAUACUGGACGCUGAGGUGCGAAAGCGUGGGGAGCAAACAGGAUUAGAUACCCCAGUAGUCCCUGUCUCUUAUAU
rnacentral:rRNA from 1 species